rnacentral:rRNA from 1 species
UACGUAGGGUGCAAGCGUUAAUCGGAAUUACUGGGCGUAAAGCGUCUGUAGGUGGUUUAAUAAGUCAACUGUUAAAUCUUGAGGCUCAACCUCAAAAUCGCAGUCGAAACUAUUAGGCUAGAGUAUAGUAGGGGUAAAGGGAAUUUCCAGUGGAGCGGUGAAAUGCGUAGAGAUUGGAAAGAACACCGAUGGCGAAGGCACUUUACUGGGCUAUUACUAACACUCAGAGACGAAAGCUAGGGUAGCAAAUGGG